rnacentral:rRNA from 1 species
UACGUAGGGUGCAAGCGUUUAAUCGGAAUUACUGGGCGUAAAGCGUGCGCAGGCGGUUUUGUAAGUUUGUCGUGAAAUCCCCGGGCUCAACCUGGGAAUGGCGAUGAAGACUGCAAGGCUAGAAUCUGGCAGAGGGGGGUAGAAUUCCACGUGUAGCAGUGAAAUGCGUAGAGAUGUGGAGGAACACCGAUGGCGAAGGGCAGCCCCCUGGGUCAAGAUUGACGCUCAUGCACGAA